GUUUGAAUUGAUACAUUUCUUCAAUAAAAAAAAAAAAAAGUCUGCUUCUGAUCUCGGAUGCUAAGCAGAGUCGGGCCUGGUUAGUACUUGGAUGGGAGACCGCCUGGAAGUACCAGGUGCUGUAAGCU
rnacentral:rRNA from 1 species